rnacentral:tRNA from 1 species
AAAAAGAUAAGCUAAAUUAAGCUAAUGGGCUCAUACCCCAUUUAUGAAUAAAAUUCUCUUUUUA